AAAGACCCAGUUAGCAUCGUCUGGUCAGUGUGAAGCCAAAUUGUGCAUGGUCUAAUUUACUGCUGUUGUCUUCCCUUCGUAUACUUUCUGCCAAAUCCCAGCCGCAUGAGUGGGCAGGGGUUGGUGAACAAGAUAGAAAUGGCCCACAGCGUCGUGGAGCUCAUGGUCUCAGAAAGGAGACAGGCACAUCUGCGCGUGAAAGGAGUGUGUUCAUGGCAUGGGCUGUAUAGGCCGUGUGUUCUCUCCGCACACAUUCAGUGGGCUCUUCCUCCCAGGUCAGACAUCAGAUGGGUGGAGACAAGCCACAUGCAAAAGGGAGGGCUCGAAUAUCAGAGGCGAUGCCGUCUCCCUCUCCUGUGUGCGUGUAUUGAUGGUUCCUUUUUUAUUUGCAGAAUAAUAUAAAGUAAGUCCCUGACUUGAACAUCCGAGUUGCAGACUUUCACAGAUACAAAUGGGCCUUGCGUUAUGAACAUCUGUAGAUGUAGCUCCCGUGUCUGCCGGCCACUGUCACCGCGGGGCUGCCCUGUGCUCCCUGUGCAGUGCGACAGUGCACAGUAGGACAGCGAUAGUGCACAGUAGGACAGCGCUCAGUCAGAGCCCAGGCAUUUUGCUGAAACCACUCUAUUGGACUCUGGCAGAAAGCACACCCUGGCAUGAGUGUGGUGGGGACACACUGCAAAUAUUGAUUCUGCCACCUGCUGGCUAUGUGACCUCGAACAAGUUACUGAACUCUCAAGUCACAGUUUUCCCUCCAUAAAAUUGCGAUGGUAAUACAAUCAUUAGUAGGUUACCGUGGGAAUUCACUGACGUAAUACAGGGCGUGGCAAGUGCUCCAUUGCAGUCCUUUUCUGUAGCAUUUCUUUUGAAAUGUCUAUACAUACUUUUAACUCCCCAAAGCCCUUUUUGCCUCAGUUCUCCCCCAGAAAUAUUACAGCUGGAGAUACUCUAUUAUAAAGCUGAUUGCAAGCCAGGCCUGGAGACACAGGCUUGGAAUCCCACCCUUUGAGACGGCAGGAAGACUGCAAGUUUGAGCCCACCCUGGGCAACUUAGUAAGUCUCAAAAUAAAAAG